CAGUCAUGCUCGUGAGGAAUCAACUUGAUGGUGUGUGGGUUCUCUCGCAUACUUUCCGGUGCACUUCCUCGCUCGGCAGGUUAGCAUCAAUUUCGGUUAUCAUAAAAAAUUUGAGAGAAUGUGGUCUUUUCUUCGGAAGAGUGUUAUAGAUCUUGAUCUAU
rnacentral:rRNA from 1 species